GAUGAAGAACGUAGCGAAAUGCGAUAAGUAAUGUGAAUUGCAGAAUUCAGUGAAUCAUCGAAUCUUUGAACGCACAUUGCGCCCGCCAGUAUUCUGGCGGGCAUGCCUGUUCGAGCGUCAUUUUAACCAUCAAGCCCCCGGCUUGUGUUGGGGACCUGCGGCUGCCGCAGGCCCUGAAAAGCAGUGGCGGGCUCGCUGUCACACCGAGCGUAGUAGCAUACAUCUCGCUCUGGGCGUGCUGCGGGUUCCGGCCGUUAAACCACCUUCAUAACCCAAGGUUGACCUCGGAUCAGGUAGGAAGACCCGCUGAACUUAAGCAUAUCAAUAAGCGGAGGA
rnacentral:misc_RNA from 1 species